UACAGAGGGGGCAAGCGUUGUUCGGAAUUACUGGGCGUAAAGGGCGCGUAGGCGGCCUUCUAAGUCGAACGUGAAAUCCCUGGGCUCAACCCAGGAACUGCGUCCGAUACUGGAAGGCUUGAAUCCGGGAGAGGGAUGCGGAAUUCCAGGUGUAGCGGUGAAAUGCGCAGAUAUCAGGAAGAACACCUAUGGCGAAGGCAGCUCUCUGGGACGGUACUGACGCUGAGACGCGAAAGCGUGGGGAGCGAACAGG
rnacentral:rRNA from 1 species